rnacentral:rRNA from 1 species
AAGUCUUCGGACUGAGUGGCGGACGGGUGAGUAACGCGUGAGAAUCUGCCUAGAGGUCGGGGACAACCAUUGGAAACGAUGGCUAAUACCGGAUAUGCCUUACGGGGUGAGAGAUUAAUUGCCUUUAGAAGAGCUCGCGUCUGAUUAGCUAGUUGGUGAGGUAAGAGCUCACCAAGGCAGCGAUCAGUAGCUGGUCUGAGAGGAUGACCAGCCACACUGGGACUGAGACACGGCCCAGACUCCUACGGGAGGCAGCAGUGGGGAAUUUUCCGCAAUGGGCGAAAGCCUGACGGAGCAAGACCGCGUGAGGGAGGAAGGCUCUUGGGUUGUAAACCUCUUUUGUCAGGGAAGAACAAAAUGACGGUACCUGACGAAUCAGCAUCGGCUAACUCCGUGCCAGCAGCCGCGGUAAUACGGAGGAUGCAAGCGUUAUCCGGAAUUAUUGGGCGUAAAGCGUCCGCAGGUGGCUGAUCAAGUCUGCGGUCAAAGACCGGGGCUUAACCCUGGAAAGGCCGUGGAAACUGAUAAAGCUAGAGUACCGUAGGGGUAGAGGGAAUUCCCGGUGUAACGGUGAAAUGCGUAGAGAUCGGGAAGAACAUCGGUGGCGAAAGCGCUCUACUGGACGGUGACUGACACUCAGGGACGAAAGCUAGGGGAGCGAAUGGGAUUAGAUACCCCAGUAGUCCUAGC